UAAGUUGGUAGUGAAAGCGUUCGGCUCAACCGGAUAUCCAUUAUCAAAACUGCUCAGCUAGAGGACGAGAGAGGUACCUGGAAUUCCUAGUGUAGGAGUGAAAUCCGUAGAUAUUAGGAGGAACACCGAUGGCGUAGGCAGGGUACUGGCUCGUUCCUGACACUAAGGCACGAAAGCGUGGGGAGCAAACGGGAUUAGAUACCCCGGUAGUCCACGCCGUAAACGAUGGAUGCUA
rnacentral:rRNA from 1 species